GGAUCUCUUGGUUCUGGCAUCGAUGAAGAACGCAGCAAAAUGCGAUAAGUAAUGUGAAUUGCAGAAUUCAGUGAAUCAUCGAAUCUUUGAACGCACAUUGCGCCCGCCAGUAUUCUGGCGGGCAUGCCUGUUCGAGCGUCAUUUCAACCCUCAAGCACAGCUUGGUGUUGGGACUCGCGUUAAUUCGCGUUCCUCAAAUUGAUUGGCGGUCACGUCGAGCUUCCAUAGCGUAGUAGUAAAACCCUCGUUACUGGUAAUCGUCGCGGCCACGCCGUUAAACCCCAACUUCUGAAUGUUGACCUCGGAUCAGGUAGGAAUACCCGCUGAACUUAAG
rnacentral:rRNA from 1 species